rnacentral:rRNA from 1 species
GCAGCACGGAGCUUGCUCUGGUGGCGAGUGGCGAACGGGUGAGUAAUAUAUCGGAACGUACCCUGGAGUGGGGGAUAACGUAGCGAAAGUUACGCUAAUACCGCAUACGAUCUACGGAUGAAAGUGGGGGAUUCGCAAGAACCUCAUGCUCGCGGAGCGGCCGAUAUCUGAUUAGCUAGUUGGUAGGGUAAAAGCCUACCAAGGCAUCGAUCAGUAGCUGGUCUGAGAGGACGACCAGCCACACUGGAACUGAGACACGGUCCAGACUCCUACGGGAGGCAGCAGUGGGGAAUUUUGGACAAUGGGCGCAAGCCUGAUCCAGCAAUGCCGCGUGAGUGAAGAAGGCCUUCGGGUUGUAAAGCUCUUUUGUCAGGGAAGAAACGGUGGGAGCUAAUAUCUCCUGCUAAUGACGGUACCUGAAGAAUAAGCACCGGCUAACUACGUGCCAGCAGCCGCGGUAAUACGUAGGGUGCAAGCGUUAAUCGGAAUUACUGGGCGUAAAGCGUGCGCAGGCGGUUUUGUAAGUCUGAUGUGAAAUCCCCGGGCUCAACCUGGGAAUUGCAUUGGAGACUGCAAGGCUAGAAUCUGGCAGAGGGGGGUAGAAUUCCACGUGUAGCAGUGAAAUGCGUAGAUAUGUGGAGGAACACCGAUGGCGAAGGCAGCCCCCUGGGUCAAGAUUGACGCUCAUGCACGAAAGCGUGGGGAGCAAACAGGAUUAGAUACCCUGGUAGU